rnacentral:tRNA from 1 species
GCCGGGGUAGCUCAAUGGUAGAGCAGCGGGAUCAUAAUCCGCUUGUUGCGAGUUCAAUUCUCGCCCCCGGUA